UUAUAAUUUCCUAAUUUUGUAAAUCAGCAUUUGGGCGUGGGUCUCACUCAACGAAAGUCAAGGUGUCAGGAAUUCUGCAUUCCUUUCUGGGGUCUCUCAGAGCAAAAUCUGUUUCCUUGCUUUUUAUAGCUGCUCCAAGUUAUCUUCCUUCUUUGCCUUUCCAUUCCUUUUCUCUGUGUUCAAAGCCAGAAGUCUCCGGCCACAUCAGCCGCCUGCUAUCUCUCUGGUUCUGUAUUCAGCUUGCUUCUUCCAAUUCUAAGCACCCAUGGCAUUUCAUUGGGUCACUUGGAUAAUCCAGGAUAAAUUCCCUUUUUAAAAUUCAGGUGAUUAGCAAUCUUGAUGCCAUCUGGAACUUUAACUGCCCUCUGUCUUGGACCCUAACCUAUUCGCAGAUCCGUAGAGAUUAGAAAUUAAAUAUAAUUGGGAUGGCAUUUUUCUGCCUAGCGCAGUAGGUCAUAGUGUUUUCAGAAUUUGAUAGAACGCUAUAUAUUUGCUGCUCUGUGCGGGGGAAGAACGUGUAGGCACAGUGUUGUACAUAUGCUCAGGGCGCUCCUGUACCCCAGGAAAGUCAUAUAUACUUUGUUUACAUAUUUCUUUCCUUCUGGGACUACUACAUAAAGCAAUCAUUGACUACGGUAGUAUAAACUGCCCAAUCUGGCAGUUUUAGUUUUCUUUCUUUCACUUUUCUCUCCUUGUUGCUUUUGUUAAUUGUUUGAAGGCUUACAUAUUCUUUGUGUAUGUUGUAUGGUGUGUGUGCAUCUGUGUUCUGUGGGGAGUAGAAAGUCUGUUAUUCAUGAAAGAAAUUAAACAAGAAUACAGAAUAGCUUUACUUUUUUCCGACCUGGGUGAAACUCCUAAAAAUAUUUUGUACGUACAUUCUUCGCAUUUAAGUCAUGUAGGAUGCCAUUCAUGGGUUCAUGGCAGUUUAUAACUUUAAGGAGUUUCCUAACAACAGGCAGAAAAAUGCAUAUUUUCAUUACCAUUUUAUAUAUCUGCAUGGACCCGGGCAGCGAUGUAACUGCAACGACCUGUGAAUUUUUUUUUUUUAAUUUAAAAAGAGUUUUUGUUGGUCAAGAUAGAAAAAACCUGACAUAAAGUCCACCCUGGAUGAAAAUAACAAUUUUAAGGGAGAGACACCAAAAUAUCAGUAUAAAGGCUGUUUCUUUCCUGGACGGCCGGCAUCAUGACCGUGGCAUUUUGCCAACGAUCACCUUUCAUUUAACAAGCCUUCGGAGAAUGCUCAGUACAAUUAAGUGACCCCGUCUUGGAGUCAGUGAUGUUCAUUUUUCAGUUUUCGUGCAUAGGCCCGUUCCCACUAUUAUUUGCAAGUUAUACUGCCUUAGGCAAAUAAAACUCCUAGAAGGGUACAAUGAUGAACGUGGAAAGCAACCAGUUUCUUUUUACCACAACAUAGCACUAACAAUGCAGUCCUACCAAAUUUAAGCCCUCUUUGCUUUUCACAGAAACUAUGUGUAAAGGACACCGCAUCACAGCAGCUUAAGUGAAACUUAUUUGUCGCCACUUUGGCCAGGCUUUUAGUCAAAAUGGGCGGUAGAGACAAGACACCGUUGACUACGUUGGACGUUUUUCU
ensembl:lncRNA